UGGGGAAUAUUGGGCAAUGGGGGAAACCCUGACCCAGCAACGCCGCGUGAGGGAAGAAGGCUUUCGGGUCGUAAACCUCUGUCCCAUGGGAAGAGUGUAAGACGGUACCAUGGGAGGAAGCCCCGGCUAACUACGUGCCAGCAGCCGCGGUAAUACGUAGGGGGCGAGCGUUGUCCGGAUUUACUGGGCGUAAAGGGUGAGUAGGCGGUCAUAUAAGUCAGGUGUAAGAGGCUAAGGCUUAACCAUAGUUAGCACUUGAAACUGUAUGACUUGAGUGCAGGAGAGGUAAGCGGAAUUCCUAGUGUAGCGGUGAAAUGCGUAGAUAUUAGGAGGAACACCGGUGGCGAAGGCGGCUUACUGGACUGUAACUGACGCUGAGUCACGAAAGCGUGGGUAGCAAACAGG
rnacentral:rRNA from 1 species